AUGCCGCUAAGAACCAACCAGGAUCACCUCAGGCUGACCUCCUUUGAGGAUAGCCAUAGCAAUGGAAGUCCUGCCAAGUUCGGCGCUGAACCCAGCAGCACCUGGGAAGACAGAGAUCCAGGCAUCGCUGGCACCCUUUUGUCAGCACCAAGCUGGAAGGCGGCUGCUCCAGGGACGCCCACCAUUGCCCAGGGCUGCUGCCGUGCACUUCCACCUCCACUCGUGGCCUGGGUCCCCUGCAGGCACUUUGAGGCAUCAUGCUAAUUAAUUUGGCCCUUGGACACAGCACUGUGUAUUCUGAGAGGACAAUGAGGAGAAACGUAUCAGAGCUUGCAUGUCUUUUCUCAACUCUUAACAGAUCAUUGUAAUCGAUGAAGCAGACAGCUGAGUUCCUGGGGGCUCUCACUGAGUUACCUGUGGGGAUGCCUAUGCACUGGUUGGCUUAGUUACUUUGGCUCUAUUCUUGGUCAGAACUGAAAUUGUUUCAGAGUAUUCAUGAAGAUUUCUUAAUACAUUAAAACUUGUUACUGUGGUACACAUGAAGUAUGAGAUUUGAAUCUUAUAAAUUAAAUCUAAUAUGUCAGACUUUUUUCCUGCUUGCUCAGUCACUCAGUCGUGUCCAAUUCUUUGUGACCCCCAUGGACUAUGGCCCGCCAGGCUCCUCUGCCCAUAGAAUUUUCCUGGCAAGAAUACUGGAGUGGGGUGCCAUUUCCUACUCCAGGGGAUCUUCCCGACCCAUGGAUUGAACCCACAUCUCUUGCGUCUCGUACAUUGGCAGGUGGAUACUUUACCAGUAGUGCCAA
rnacentral:lncRNA from 1 species